UACGUAGGGGGCGAGCGUUAUCCGGAUUUACUGGGCGUAAAGCGCGUUAAGGCGGUCGGCAAAGUUGGUUGUGAAAUCUCAGGGCUCAACCCUGAAAUUGCGACCAAUACUGGUCGACUAGAGUGCAAGAGAGGAAGGUGGAAUUCCCGGUGUAGUAGUGAAAUGCGUAGAUAUCGGGAGGAACACCAGUGGCGAAGGCGGCCUUCUGGCUUGUAACUGACGCUGUAGCGCGAAAGCGAUGGGGAGC
rnacentral:rRNA from 1 species